rnacentral:rRNA from 1 species
GCAGCCGCCGCGGGAAUACGUAGGUCCCGAGCGUUGUCCGGAUUUAUUGGGCGUAAAGCGAGCGCAGGCGGUUAGAUAAGUCUGAAGUUAAAGGCUGUGGCUUAACCAUAGUACGCUUUGGAAACUGUUUAACUUGAGUGCAAGAGGGGAGAGUGGAAUUCCAUGUGUAGCGGUGAAAUGCGUAGAUAUAUGGAGGAACACCGGUGGCGAAAGCGGCUCUCUGGCUUGUAACUGACGCUGAGGCUCGAAAGCGUGGGGAGCAAACAGGAUUAGAUACCCCCGUAGUCCCUGUCUCUUAUACA